UUAAGCGACUAAGCGUACACGGUGGAUGCCCUGGCAGUCAGAGGCGAUGAAGGACGUGCUAAUCUGCGAUAAGCGUCGGUAAGGUGAUAUGAACCGUUAUAACCGGCGAUUUCCGAAUGGGGAAACCCAGUGUGAUUCGUCACACUAUCAUUAACUGAAUCCAUAGGUUAAUGAGGCGAACCGGGGGAACUGAAACAUCUAAGUACCCCGAGGAAAAGAAAUCAACCGAGAUUCCCCCAGUAGCGGCGAGCGAACGGGGAGCAGCCCAGAGCCUGAAUCAGUGUGUGUGUUAGUGGAAGCGUCUGGAAAGGCGCGCGAUACAGGGUGACAGCCCCGUACACAAAAAUGCACAUGCUGUGAGCUCGAUGAGUAGGGCGGGACACGUGGUAUCCUGUCUGAAUAUGGGGGGACCAUCCUCCAAGGCUAAAUACUCCUGACUGACCGAUAGUGAACCAGUACCGUGAGGGAAAGGCGAAAAGAACCCCGGCGAGGGGAGUGAAAAAGAACCUGAAACCGUGUACGUACAAGCAGUGGGAGCACGCUUCGGCGUGUGACUGCGUACCUUUUGUAUAAUGGGUCAGCGACUUAUAUUCUGUAGCAAGGUUAACCGAAUAGGGGAGCCGAAGGGAAACCGAGUCUUAACUGGGCGUUAAGUUGCAGGGUAUAGACCCGAAACCCGGUGAUCUAGCCAUGGGCAGGUUGAAGGUUGGGUAACACUAACUGGAGGACCGAACCGACUAAUGUUGAAAAAUUAGCGGAUGACUUGUGGCUGGGGGUGAAAGGCCAAUCAAACCGGGAGAUAGCUGGUUCUCCCCGAAAGCUAUUUAGGUAGCGCCUCGUGAAUUCAUCUCCGGGGGUAGAGCACUGUUUCGGCAAGGGGGUCAUCCCGACUUACCAACCCGAUGCAAACUGCGAAUACCGGAGAAUGUUAUCACGGGAGACACACGGCGGGUGCUAACGUCCGUCGUGAAGAGGGAAACAACCCAGACCGCCAGCUAAGGUCCCAAAGUCAUGGUUAAGUGGGAAACGAUGUGGGAAGGCCCAGACAGCCAGGAUGUUGGCUUAGAAGCAGCCAUCAUUUAAAGAAAGCGUAAUAGCUCACUGGUCGAGUCGGCCUGCGCGGAAGAUGUAACGGGGCUAAACCAUGCACCGAAGCUGCGGCAGCGACACUAUGUGUUGUUGGGUAGGGGAGCGUUCUGUAAGCCUGUGAAGGUGUACUGUGAGGUAUGCUGGAGGUAUCAGAAGUGCGAAUGCUGACAUAAGUAACGAUAAAGCGGGUGAAAAGCCCGCUCGCCGGAAGACCAAGGGUUCCUGUCCAACGUUAAUCGGGGCAGGGUGAGUCGACCCCUAAGGCGAGGCCGAAAGGCGUAGUCGAUGGGAAACAGGUUAAUAUUCCUGUACUUGGUGUUACUGCGAAGGGGGGACGGAGAAGGCUAUGUUGGCCGGGCGACGGUUGUCCCGGUUUAAGCGUGUAGGCUGGUUUUCCAGGCAAAUCCGGAAAAUCAAGGCUGAGGCGUGAUGACGAGGCACUAUGGUGCUGAAGCAACAAAUGCCCUGCUUCCAGGAAAAGCCUCUAAGCAUCAGGUAACAUCAAAUCGUACCCCAAACCGACACAGGUGGUCAGGUAGAGAAUACCAAGGCGCUUGAGAGAACUCGGGUGAAGGAACUAGGCAAAAUGGUGCCGUAACUUCGGGAGAAGGCACGCUGAUAUGUAGGUGAAGUCCCUCGCGGAUGGAGCUGAAAUCAGUCGAAGAUACCAGCUGGCUGCAACUGUUUAUUAAAAACACAGCACUGUGCAAACACGAAAGUGGACGUAUACGGUGUGACGCCUGCCCGGUGCCGGAAGGUUAAUUGAUGGGGUCAGCGCAAGCGAAGCUCUUGAUCGAAGCCCCGGUAAACGGCGGCCGUAACUAUAACGGUCCUAAGGUAGCGAAAUUCCUUGUCGGGUAAGUUCCGACCUGCACGAAUGGCGUAAUGAUGGCCAGGCUGUCUCCACCCGAGACUCAGUGAAAUUGAACUCGCUGUGAAGAUGCAGUGUACCCGCGGCAAGACGGAAAGACCCCGUGAACCUUUACUAUAGCUUGACACUGAACAUUGAGCCUUGAUGUGUAGGAUAGGUGGGAGGCUUGGAAGUGUGGACGCCAGUCUGCAUGGAGCCGACCUUGAAAUACCACCCUUUAAUGUUUGAUGUUCUAACGUUGACCCGUAAUCCGGGUUGCGGACAGUGUCUGGUGGGUAGUUUGACUGGGGCGGUCUCCUCCUAAAGAGUAACGGAGGAGCACGAAGGUUGGCUAAUCCUGGUCGGACAUCAGGAGGUUAGUGCAAUGGCAUAAGCCAGCUUGACUGCGAGCGUGACGGCGCGAGCAGGUGCGAAAGCAGGUCAUAGUGAUCCGGUGGUUCUGAAUGGAAGGGCCAUCGCUCAACGGAUAAAAGGUACUCCGGGGAUAACAGGCUGAUACCGCCCAAGAGUUCAUAUCGACGGCGGUGUUUGGCACCUCGAUGUCGGCUCAUCACAUCCUGGGGCUGAAGUAGGUCCCAAGGGUAUGGCUGUUCGCCAUUUAAAGUGGUACGCGAGCUGGGUUUAGAACGUCGUGAGACAGUUCGGUCCCUAUCUGCCGUGGGCGCUGGAGAACUGAGGGGGGCUGCUCCUAGUACGAGAGGACCGGAGUGGACGCAUCACUGGUGUUCGGGUUGUCAUGCCAAUGGCACUGCCCGGUAGCUAAAUGCGGAAGAGAUAAGUGCUGAAAGCAUCUAAGCACGAAACUUGCCCCGAGAUGAGUUCUCCCUGACCCUUUAAGGGUCCUGAAGGAACGUUGAAGACGACGACGUUGAUAGGCCGGGUGUGUAAGCGCAGCGAUGCGUUGAGCUAACCGGUACUAAUGAACCGUGAGGCUUAACCUU
rnacentral:rRNA from 1 species